rnacentral:rRNA from 1 species
CCCUUAGACGUUCUGGGCCGCACGCGCGCUACACUGACCAGUGCAACAAGCAUCCGUCCUUGGCCGACAGGCCCGGGCAAUCUUUGAACGCUGGUCGUGAUGGGGAUAGACUUUUGCAAUUUUUGGUCUUCAACGAGGAAUUCCUAGUAAGCGCAAGUCAUCAGCUUGCGUUGAUUACGUCCCUGCCCUUUGUACACACCGCCCGUCGCUCCUACCGAUUGAAUGGUCCGGUGAAAUCUCGGGACGGCGGCUUGGUCGCUUGCGUCCGACUGCUGAAACUUGAUUAAACCAUAUCAUUUAGAGGAAGGUGAAGUCGUANCA